GACGAACGCUGGCGGCGUGGAUUAGGCAUGCAAGUCGAACGGUAGGAUACCUUCGGGUAUCUGAGAGUGGCGAACGGGUGAGUAACACGUAGGUGAUCUACCCUCAAGAUUGGGACAACCCAGGGAAACUUGGGCUAAUACCGGAUGAAAGCAGCAGCGAUGUUGUUUGAAAGGUGGCGUAAGCUGCCGUUUGGGGAUGAGCCUGCGCUCUAUUAGUUAGUUGGCGGGGUAAAGGCCCACCAAGGCGAUGAUAGAUAGGCGGCCUUAACGGGUGGUCGCCCACACUGGGAUUGAGAUACGGCCCAGACUCCUACGGGAGGCAGCAGUCGAGAAUAGUCUACAAUGGCCGAAAGGCUGAUAGUGCGACGCCGCGUGAACGAAGAAGCCCUUCGGGGUGUAAAGUUCUUUUAUAUGUGAGCAGUGCUUCUUAUAUUAACAGUAUGGGGAGAGAGAUAUUAGCAUAUGAAUAAGCAACGGCUAACUCCGUGCCAGCAGCCGAC
rnacentral:rRNA from 1 species